AUUGAACGCUUGCGGCAGGCCUAACACAUGCCAGUCGAACGGUAACAGGAAGAAGCUUGCUUCUUUGCUGACGAGUGGCGGACGGGUGAGUAAUGUCUGGGAAACUGCCUGAUGGAGGGGGAUAACUACUGGAAACGGUAGCUAAUACCGCAUAACGUCGCAAGACCAAAGAGGGGGACCUUCGGGCCUCUUGCCACCGGAUGUGCCCAGAUGGGAUUAGCUAGUAGGUGGGGUAACGGCUCACCUAGGCGACGAUCCCUAGCUGGUCUGAGAGGAUGACCAGCCACACUGGAACUGAGACACGGUCCAGACUCCUACGGGAGGCAGCAGUGGGGAAUAUUGCACAAUGGGCGCAAGCCUGAUGCAGCCAUGCCGCGUGUAUGAAGAAGGCCUUCGGGUUGUAAAGUACUUUCAGCGGGGAGGAAGGGAGUAAAGUUAAUACCUUUGCUCAUUGACGUUACCCGCAGAAGAAGCACCGGCUAACUCCGUG
rnacentral:rRNA from 1 species